rnacentral:rRNA from 1 species
UCAUGGCCCUUACGGCGUGGGAUACACACGUGCUACAAUGGAACGCACAGAGGGCUGCAACCUCGCGAGAGUGAGCGAAUCCCACAAAACGUUUCGUAGUCCGGAUUGGAGUCUGCAACUCGACUCCAUGAAGUCGGAAUCGCUAGUAAUCGUGAAUCAGAAUGUCACGGUGAAUACGUUCCCGGGCCUUGUACACACCGCCCGUCACACCAUGGGAGUGGGAUGCAAAAGAAGUAGUUAGUCUAACCUUCGGGAGGACGAUUACCACUUUGUGUUUCAUGACUGGGGUGAAGUCGUAACAAGGUAACC